rnacentral:rRNA from 1 species
GUGCCAGCAGCCGCGGUAAUACGGAGGGUGCAAGCGUUGUUCGGAUUUAUUGGGCGUAAAGCGCGUGUAGGCGGUAUUGUAAGUCUGAUGUGAAAUCCUUGGGCUCAACCUGAGAACUGCAUCAGAUACUGCUUUACUAGAGUGUCGGAGAGGGUACUGGAAUUCCUGGUGUAGAGGUGAAAUUCGUAGAUAUCAGGAAGAACACCGGUGGCGAAGGCGGGUACCUGGACGAUUACUGACGCUGAGACGCGAAAGCGUGGGGAGCAAACAGGAUUAGAUACCCUGGUAGUCCACGCUGUAAACGAUGAGUGCUAGAUGUGGCGGGAAUUGACCCCUGCCGUAUCGCAGCUAACGCGUUAAGCACUCCCGCCUGGGGAGUACGGCCCGCAAGGCUAAAACUCAAAGGAAUUGACGGGGGCCCCGCACAAGCGGUGGGAGGAUGUGGUUUAAUUCGAUGCAACGCGAAGAACCUUAACCAGGGUUUGCUAGAAGUGGUUGGUUUCCUGAAAAGGAUUCCUUAUUCCGCUUCUACAGGUGGUGCAUGGCUGUCGUCCAGCUCCUGUCGUGAGAUGUUGGGUUAAGUCCCGCAACCCACGCAACCCUUAUUUUUAGUUCUAUUGUCUAAAAAAGACUGCCGGUGAUAAACCCGGAGGAAGGUGAGAACGACUUCAAGUCAUCAUGCCCCUUACACCCUGGGCUAACCCCGUCCUACAAUGGGUAAGACAAUAAGUUGCAAAUCCGCGAGGACAAGCUAAUCUUUCAAACUUACUCCAAGUACAGAUUGCAGGCUGCAACUCGCCUGCA